UUGGGGGCAAUGUCAGGCCUGGCGCGCGCCAUCCCCGCGGCUGCGGAGGCGGACACCCGCGGGGCCUCACCUGGGAAGGGGAUCCUAACCCUCUACUCCCCACCCAACACGCACGCCCUGACCCGUAGGGAAUUCGGGGUGGAAGGGGAUGUCCAUGGAGACAGACCGAUACAAAGACACACAAAUAAUACCACGAGGGGACAAGAUAACACACAGUCCCAUAGGGAAAGGGACACCAAUAAUUCACACAUAAGCAGGGAUAUCCAGAGACACAUUAAUCACAGCCAGAAACAGCCACACACAGAAAUGUACACACAAAGACAGCGACAAACGGACAAGGACAUGGACACACAUAGUCACAAACUAGAGCAAAAUGCUCAGUUACACCCCAUUAUGGAAAUAAGAAAAUACAUUUACACGUGGACAGAGUGCCACAGGCAGAGAUAUACAAAUUCCACCACGCACAAACGGGACCUAGUGCCUAGUUUCACAGGCCAGAAUUUCACAGCCUCCACCCACACCCAGCCUGGGACCCAGAGUCCCACAAUCUGCAGGCCUCACUGCACCCAGGGCGUUUUCCUGUGAAACCCCCUUCAACCACCGCAAAACCCCCAGUGAGAAAGCUGAACCCAUCCAGCCAUUUUGCAGAGGCAGAGCCUGAGGGCAGCAGACAGGAUCCACAGACUGUCUGUCUCAGAGACAGACUCUUGCGGGUCAGACAUGUCUUUAAAGUAUAAUAAUACCUCCCACCUACGAAUGUGCCCUUUAAUCCCCUCCACAAUUCCCCCCUUGGCCCCAAUUUACAGGCUAGGAAGCUGAGGCUCAGAAGAAGUACCUCACAUAGCAGCAGGCACAAAGGUUUUCAUGCUCCCACACAAGCACAUCCACACAGAAACAGUUACACAGUUGCUGGAGUCCCAGUUAACAGAUGAGAAAACCGAGGCCUGGGGAGGGGAACGGACUUAUUUGGACAUGGCAGAAACAAAUGCAUCCCAGAUGGCGUCAGCUGCACACUGGGAGCCAGGCGCAAAUACAGAUCCACAGGGAGUCACAGACUCAGCCAUGCUGGGGAGAGGGGGCAUCAGAUACACCCAGAUACAUGUUACACGCGCUCCUUCUCGGUUGGGGACACUGCGCAGAGGCUCACAGCCUGUGCACCGGCCGCCUCGCCGUGGCUUGCCUGGAGGCAGGAGUGAGGUGUCUUUCUUAGAAGUUCUGGCAAUUCAUCUCAAUUCAACUUUCCAAGUGAUAAAAUCCGCCAGAUAAUCUAUGAGGAAACCGAGACAGAGCCGCCUGGCUGCCAGUGUCUGUCCAUGACUGUUAAUGCUGCUUUAGGGGCAUGACGACAACCAGAGACAGACAGUGGCACUCCCUCCUCCAAAUCGUCAUCCAACUUCCUUCUGCCAGCUGAGGACAGAGCCCUUGGGCCAGCCACUAGAGGCCACUCUCUCUGCGGUUCCCAGGGUCACUAUACUCAUCCUGCCUUUGAGGUCAUGGUUGGCUUUCACUGAGCCCUGCCUCAAAUGCCAUGCUAAGCGCUUUACCAGGAUGAAUUCAGCUCGUCCUCCUAAUAGUCCUCUGAGUUAGGUGCACUGAAAUUUUUUUCAGUUUUAUUGAGGUGUGAUUGACGUAAAACAAACCGCACACAUUUAACGUGUACCAUGUGAUGAGUUUUCAAAAGCUGGAAACCAUCACCAGAGUCAAGGUACUAAACACAUCCGAGCCCCUUUUAUCCCUUCCUCCCACCUCUCCCUACUCCACCCCCAGGUAACCUCUGAUGUGCUUUCUAUUACUAAAGAUGAGGUUGCAUUUUCUAGAGUUUAAAUAAAUGAGACCAGAAAGUGUAUACUCUUCUUUUUUGGUCUGACUUCUUUCCCUCAGCAAAAUUAUGAAGAUUCGUUUAUGUUUAAAAAAAUAUUUUUGGCUUUUUUUUUGGAGGGGUGGUAAUUAGUUUUAUUUAAUUUUUUAACUAGGUUCGUUUAUUAUUUUUUUAAUGGAGGUACUGGGGGUUGAACCCAGCAUCUCGUGCAUGCUAAGCACGGACUCUACCGCUGACUUAUACUCCUGCUACCCCUUCAUUUAUAUUAUUACGUGUAUUUGAGCCCCUUUUUGCUCAAGGGGAAACUGAAGCACAUAGAGGUGUGGCUUGAAGGGGGAGUUUAGGGGAGUGGGUGUCACCACACACGUUUCGGCCCCCUCCCCGCCCCAGGCUGAGGCUGGGUCUGGGUGCGCAGCCCGCAGAGGGGCGCUCUGAUCCCCGAUCCGAAGCGGGCAGGUGCAAACCGCGCAGGGGCCCCGCCUGGCGGUCAGUUCCCAGCGCCCAGAGGGGGCGCGGCCGGGGGCGGGGCCAGGGGC